UGGCUCUCGCAUCGAUGAAGAACGCAGCGAAAUGCGAUAAGUAAUGUGAAUUGCAGAAUUCAGUGAAUCAUCGAAUCUUUGAACGCACCUUGCGCUCCAUGGUAUUCCGUGGAGCAUGCCUGUUUGAGUGUCAUGAAUACUUCAACCCUCCUCUUUCUUAAUGAUUGAAGAGGUGUUUGGUUUCUGAGCGCUGCUGGCCUUUACGGUCUAGCUCGUUCGUAAUGCAUUAGCAUCCGCAAUCGAACUUCGGAUUGACUUGGCGUAAUAGACUAUUCGCUGAGGAAUUCUAGUCUUCGGAUUAGAGCCGGGUUGGGUUAAAGGAAGCUUCUAAUCAGAAUGUCUACAUUUUAAGAUUAGAUCUCAAAUCAGGUAGGACUACCCGCUGA
rnacentral:misc_RNA from 1 species